rnacentral:rRNA from 1 species
ACCAGACUCCUACGGGAGGCAGCAGUGGGGAAUAUUGCACAAUGGGGGAAACCCUGAUGCAGCAACGCCGCGUGAGUGAAGAAGUAUUUCGGUAUGUAAAGCUCUAUCAGCAGGGAAGAAAAUGACGGUACCUGACUAAGAAGCUCCGGCUAAAUACGUGCCAGCAGCCGCGGUAAUACGUAUGGAGCAAGCGUUAUCCGGAUUUACUGGGUGUAAAGGGAGCGCAGGCGGUACGGCAAGUCCGAUGUGAAAACCCGGGGCUCAACCCCGGGACUGCAUUGGAAACUGCCGCACUAGAGUGCCGGAGAGGUAAGUGGAAUUCCUAGUGUAGCGGUGAAAUGCGUAGAUAUUAGGAGGAACACCAGUGGCGAAGGCGGCUUACUGGACGGUAACUGACGCUGAGGCUCGAAAGCGUGGGGAGCAAACAGGAUUAGAUACCCGGGUA